rnacentral:rRNA from 1 species
UACGGGGGGGGCAAGCGUUGUUCGGAAUUACUGGGCGUAAAGGGCUCGUAGGCGGCCAACUAAGUCCGACGUGAAAUCCCCAGGCUUAACCUGGGAACUGCGUCGGAUACUGGAUGGCUUGAAUUCGGGAGAGGGAUGCAGAAUUCCAGGUGUAGCGGUGAAAUGCGUAGAUAUCUGGAGGAACACCGGUGGCGAAGGCGGCAUCCUGGACCGAGAUUGACGCUGAUGCGCGAAAGCCAGGGGAGCAAACGGG